rnacentral:tRNA from 1 species
GCGGGUAUGGCGAAAUUGGCAGACGCACUAGACUUAGGAUCUAGCGCCUUACGGCGUGCAGGUUCGACUCCUGUUACCCGCA